GAUAUUCAUUGCUACCUAUGAGGUCAGAGUCCAGGGUCAGUCCAUGUAUAGUCUUUAGGUAGUGGCUUAGUCCCUGGAAGCUCUGGUUGCUUGGCAUUGUUGUACAUAUGGGGUCUCGAGCCCCUUCAAGCUCUUCCAGUUCUUUCUCUGAUUCCUUCAACGGGGGUCCUAUUCUCAGUUCAGUGGUUUGCUGCUGGCAUUCGCCUCUGUAUUUGCUGUAUUCUGGCUGUGUCUCUCAGGAGCGAUCUACAUCCGGCUCCUGUCCGACUGCACUUCUUUGCUUCAUCCAUCUUGUCUAAUUGGGUGGCUGUAUAUGUAUGGGCCACAUGUGGGGCAGGCUCUGAAUGGGUGUUCCUUCAGUCUCUGUUUUAAUCGUUGCCUCUCUAUUCCCUGCCAAGGGUAUUCUUGUUCCCCUUUUAGAGAAGGAGUGAAGCAUUCACAUUUUGAUCAUCCGUCUUGAGUUUCAUUUGUUCUAGGCAUCUAGGGUAAUUCAAGCAUUUGGGCUAAUAGCCACUUAUCAGUGAGUGCAUACAAUGUAUGUCUUUCUGUGAUUGGGUUCGCUCACUCAGGAUGAUAUUUUCCAGUUCCAACCAUUUGCCUACGAAUUUCAUAAAGCCAUUGUUUUUGAUAGCUGAGUAAUAUUCCAUUGUGUAGAUGUACCACAUUUUCUGUAUCCAUUCCUCUGUUGAAGGGCAUCUGGGUUCUUUCCAGCUUCUGGCUAUUAUAAAUAAGGCUGCGAUGUGGAGCACGUGUCUUUUUUAUAUGUUGGGGCAUCUUUUGGGUAUAUGCCCAAGAGAGGUAUAGCUGGAUCCUCAGGCAGUUCAAUGUCCAAUUUUCUGAGGAACCUCCAGACUGAUUUCCAGAAUGGUUGUACCAGUCUGCAAUCCCACCAACAAUGGAGGAGUGUUCCUCUUCCUCCACAUCCUCGCCAGCAUCUGCUGUCACCUGAGUUUUUGAUCUUAGCCAUUCUCACUGGUGUGAGGUGAAAUCUCAGGGUUGUUUUGAUUUGCAUUUCCCUUAUGACUAAAGAUGUUGAACAUUUCUUUAGGUGUUUCUCAGCCAUUCGGCAUUCCUCAGCUGUGAAUUCUUUGUUUAGCUCUGAACCCCAUUUUUUAAUAGGGUUAUUUGUCUCCCUGCAGUCUAACUUCUUGAGUUCUUUGUAUAUUUUGGAUAUAAGGCCUCUAUCUGUUGUAGGAUUGGUAAAGAUCUUUUCCCAAUCUGUUGGUUGCCGAUUUGUCCUAACCACAGUGUCCUUUGCCUUACAGAAGCUUUGCAGUUUUAUGAGAUCCCAUUUGUCGAUUCUUGAUCUUAGAGCGUAAGCCAUUGGUGUUUUGUUCAGGAAAUUUUUUCCAGUGCCCAUGUGUUCCAGAUGCUUCCCUAGUUUUUCUUCUAUUAGUUUGAGUGUGUCAGGUUUGAUGUGGAGGUCCUUGAUCCACUUGGACUUAAGCUUUGUACAGGGUGCUAAGCAUGGAUCAAUCUGCAUUCUUCUACAUGUUGCCCUCCAGUUGAACCAGCACCAUUUGCUGAAAAUGCUAUCUUUUUUCCAUUUGAUGGUUUUGGCUCCUUUGUCAAAAAUCAAAUGACCAUAGGUAUGUGGGUUCAUUUCUGGGUCUUCAAUUCUAUUCCAUUGGUCUAUCUGUCUGUCUCUGUACCAAUACCAUGCAGUUUUUAUCACUAUUGCUCUGUAAUACUGCUUGAGUUCAGGGAUAGUGAUUCCCCCUGAAGUCCUUUUAUUGUUGAGGAUAGUUUUAGCUAUCCUGGGUUUUUUGUUAUUCCAGAUGAAUUUGCAAAUUGUUCUGUCUAACUCUUUGAAGAAUUGGAUUGGUAUUUUGAUGGGGAUUGCAUUGAAUCUGUAGAUUGCUUUUGGUAAAAUGGCCAUUUUUACUAUAUUAAUCCUGCCAAUCCAUGAGCAUGGGAGAUCUUUCCAUCUUCUGAGGUCUUCUUCAAUUUCUUUCUUCAGUGUCUUGAAGUUCUUAUUGUACAGAUCUUUUACUUGCUUGGUUAAAGUCACACCGAGGUACUUUAUAUUAUUUGGGUCUAUUAUGAAGGGUGUCGUUUCCCUAAUUUCUUUCUUGGCUUGUUUCUCUUUUGUGUAGAGGAAGGCUACUGAUUUAUUUGAGUUAAUUUUAUACCCAGCCACUUUGCUGAAGUUGUUUAUCAGCUUUAGUAGUUCUCUGGUGGAACUUUUGGGAUCACUUAAAUAAACUAUCAUAUCAUCUGCAAACAGUGAUAUUUUGACUUCUUCUUUUCCGAUCUGUAUCCCCUUGCCCUCCUUUUGUUGUCUGAUUGCUCUGGCUAGAACUUCAAGAACUAUAUUGAAUAAGUAGGGAGAGAGUGGGCAUCCUUGUCUAGUCCCUGAUUUUAGUGGGAUUGCUUCAAGUUUCUCUCCAUUUAGUUUAAUGUUAGCAACUGGUUUGCUGUAUAUGGCUUUUACUAUGUUUAGAUAUGGGCCUUGAAUUCUUAUUCUUUCCAGGACUUUUAUCAUGAAGGGGUGUUGAAUUUUGUCAAAUGCUUUCUCAGCAUCUAAUGAAAUGAUCAUGUGGUUUUGUUCUUUCAGUUUGUUUAUAUAAUGGAUCACGUUGAUGGUUUUCUGUAUAUUAAACCAUCCCUGCAUGCCUGGGAUGAAGCCUACUUGAUCAUGGUGGAUGAUUGUUUUGAUGUGCUCUUGGAUUCGGUUUGACAGAAUUUUAUUGAGUAUUUUUGCGUCGAUAUUCAUAAGGGAAAUUGGUCUGAAGUUCUCUUUCUUUGUUGGGUCUUUGUAUGGUUUAGGUAUAAGAGUAAUUGUGGCUUCAUAGAAGGAAUUUGGGAGUGAUCCAUCUGUUUCAAUUUUGUGGAAUAGUUUGGAUAAUAUUGGUAUGAGGUCUUCUAUGAAGGUUUGAGAGAAUUCUGCACUAAACCCAUCUGGACCUGGGCUCUUUUUGGUUGGGAGACCUUUAAUGACUGCUUCUAUUUCCUUAGGAGUUAUGGGGUUGUUUAACUGGUUUAUCUGUUCCUGAUUUAACUUCGGUACCUGGUAUCUGUCUAGGAAAUUGUCCAUUUCCUGUAGAUUUUCAAGUUUUGUUGAAUAUAGGCUUUUAUAGUAAGAUCUGAUGAUUUUUUGAAUUUCCUCUGAAUCUGUAGUUACGUCUCCGUUUUCAUUUCUGAUUUUGUUAAUUUGGACGCACUCUCUGGGUCCUCUCGUUAGUCUGGCUAAGGGUUUAUCUAUCUUGUUGAUUUUCUCAAAGAACCAACUUUUGGUUCUGUUGAUUCUUUCUAUGGUCCUUUUUGUUUCUACUUGGUUGAUUUCAGCUCUGAGUUUGAUUAUUUCCUGCCUUCUACUCCUCCUGGGUGUAUUUGCUUCUUUUUGCUCUAGAGCUUUUAGGUGUGCUGUCAAGCUGCUGACAUAUGCUCUUUCCUGUUUCUUUCUGCAGGCACACAGCGCUAUGAGUUUUCCUCUUAGCACAGCUUUCAUUGUGUCCCAUAAGUUUGGGUAUGUUGUACCUUCAUUUUCAUUAGAUUCUAAAAAGUUUUUAAUUUCUUUCUUUAUUUCUUCCUUGACUAGGUUAUCAUUGAGUAGAGCAUUGUUCAAUUUCCAUGUAUAUGUGGGCAUUCUUCCCUUAUUGUUAUUGAAGACCAGUUUUAGGCCGUGGUGGUCUGAUAGCACGCAUGGGAUUAUUUCUAUCUUUCUGUACCUGUUGAGGCCCAUUUUUUGACCAAUUAUAUGGUCAAUUAUGGAGAAAGUACCAUGAGGAGCUGAGAAGAAGGUAUAUCCUUUUGCUUUAGGAUAGAAUGUUCUAUAAAUAUCUGUUAAGUCCAUUUGGCUCAUGACUUCUCUUAGUCUGUCUACGUCUCUGUUUAAUUUCUGUUUCCAUGAUCUGUCCAUUGAUGAGAGUGGGGUGUUGAAAUCUCCCACUAUUAUUGUGUCAGGUCCAAUGUGUGUUUUGAGCUUUAGUAAGGUUUCUUUUACGUAUGUAGGUGCCCUUGUAUUUGGGGCAUAGAUAUUUAGGAUUGAGAGUUCAUCUUGGUGGAUUUUUCCUUUGAUGAAUAUGAAGUGUCCUUCCUUAUCUUUUUUGAUGACUUUUAAUUGAAAAUUGAUUUUAUUUGAUAUUAGAAUGGCUACUCCAGCUUGCUUCUUCUGACCAUUUGCUUGGAAAGUUGUUUUCCAGUCUUUCACUCUGAGGUAGUGUCUGUCUUUGUCUCUGAGGUAUGUUUCCUGUAGGCAGCAGAAUGCAGGGUCCUCGUUGCGUAUCCAGUUUGUUAAUCUAUGUCUUUUUAUUGGGGAGUUGAGGCCAUUGAUGUUGAGAGAUAUUAAGGAAUAGUGAUUAUUGCUUCCUGUUAUAUUCAUAUUUGGAUGUGAGGUUAUGUUUAUGUGCUUUUCUUCUCUUUGUUUUUUUGCCAAUCGUUUUUGCCAAGACGAUUAGUUUCUUGCUUCUUCUAGGGUAUAGCUUGCCUCCUUAUGUUGGGCUUUACCCUUUAUUAUCCUUUGUAGUGCUGGAUUUGUAGAAAGAUAUUGUGUAAAUUUGGUUUUGUCAUGGAAUAUCUUGGUUUCUCCAUCUAUGUUAAUUGAGAGUUUUGCAGGAUACAGUAACCUGGGCUGGCAUUUGUGUUCUCUUAGGGUCUGUAUGACAUCAGUCCAGGAUCUUCUGGCCUUUAUAGUUUCUGGCGAAAAGUCUGGUGUGAUUCUGAUAGGUCUGCCUUUAUAUGUUACUUGACCUUUUUCCCUUACUGCUUUUAAUAUUCUUUCUUUAUUUUGUGCGUUUGGUGUUUUGACUAUUAUGUGACGGGAGGUGUUUCUUUUGUGGUCCAAUCUAUUUGGAGUUCUGUAGGCUUCUUGUAUGUCUAUGGGUAUCUCUUUUUUUAGGUUAGGGAAGUUUUCUUCUAUGAUUUUGUUGAAGAUAUUUACUGGUCCUUUGAGCUGGGAGUCUUCACUCUCUUCUAUACCUAUAAUCCUUAGGUUUGAUCUUCUCAUUGAGUCCUGGAUUUCCUGUAUGUUUUGGACCAGUAGCUUUUUCUGCUUUACAUUAUCAUUGACAGUUGAGUCAAUGAUUUCUAUGGAAUCUUCUGCUCCCGAGAUUCUCUCUUCCAUCUCUUGUAUUCUGUUGGUGAAGCUUGUAUCUACAGCUCCUUGUCUCUUCUUUUGAUUUUCUAUAUCCAGGGUUGUUUCCAUGUGUUCUUUCUUGAUUGCUUCUAUUUCUAUUUUUAAUUCCUUCAACUGUUUGAUUGUGUUUUCCUGGAAUUCUUUCAGGGAUUUUUGUGUCUCCUCUCUAUGGGUUUCUACUUGUUUAUUUAUGUUUUCCUGGAAUUCUUUCAGGCAUUUUUGUGAUUCCUCUCUGUAGGCUUCUACUUGUUCUCUAAGGGAGUUCUUCACAUCUUUCUUGAAGUCCUCCAGCAAUAUGAUUUUGAAACUAGAUCUUGCUUUUCUGGUGUGUUUGGAUAUUCCAUGUUUAUUUUGGUGGGAGAAUUGGACUCCAAUGAUGCCAUGUAGUCUUGGUUUCUGUUGCUUGGGUUCCUGGGCUUGCCUCUCGCCAUCAGAUUAUCUCUAGUGUACUUUGUUCUGCUAUUUCUGACAGUGGCUAGACUGUCCUAUAAGCCUGUGUGUCAGAGGUGCUGUAGACCUGUUUUCCUGUUUUCUUUCAGCCAGUUAUGGGGACAGAGUGUUCUGCUUUCGGGCAUGUAGUUUUUCCUAUCUUCAGGUCUUCAGCUGUUCCUGUGGGCCUGUGUCUGGAGUUCACCAGGCAGGUCUCUUGCAGGGGAAAAGUUGGUCCUACCUGUGGUUCCAAGGCUCAAGUUUGCUUGUGGUGUACUGCGUAAGUCCUCUCCGCAGCGGCAGCAACCAGGAAGAUCUGCGCCGCUCUUUCCGGGAGCCUCCGUGCACCAGGGUUCCAGAUGGCGUUUGGUGUUUCCUCUGGCGUCUGGAUGUGCGCAGAGUGCAGUCUCUUCUAGUUUUCCAGGAGUGUCUGCCUCUCUGAAGGUUUAGCUGUCCCUCCCACGGGAUUUGGGUGCAGAGAACUGUUUAUCCGGUCUGUUUCCUUCAGGUUCCGGCGGUGUCUCAGGCGCAGGGGUCCUGCCGCUCCUGGGCCCUCCCCUAUGGGAACCCAGUGGCCUUAUACAGUUGCCUCUUGGGCCAGGGAUGUGGGCAGGGGUGGGCAGUGUUGGUGGUCCCCUCUGCUCUGCAGCCUCAGGAGUGCCCACCUGACCAGGCGGUGAAGUCUCUCUCCCACGGGGUUUGGGAGCGGAGAGCUGCUGCGGACCGGGUUCCGCGGGUGUGGGACUUCCGGUAAACACAGGAAGUGCCCGGUCCUAGAGGAAUUUUGCCUCUGUGUGUCCUGAGUUCACCAGGCAGGUUUCUUGCAGGGGAAAAGUUGGUCCUACCUGUGGUUCCAAGGCUCAAGUUUGCUCGUGGGGUACUGCCUAAGUCCUCUCCGCGGCGGCAGCAACCAGGAAGAUCUGCGCCGCUCUUUCCGGGAGCCUCCGUGCACCAGGGUCCAGAUGGCGUUUGGUGUUUUCCUGUGGCGUCUGGAUGUGCGCAGAGUGCAGUCUCUUCUGGUUUCCCAGGUGUGUCUGCCUCUCUGAAAGUUUAGCUCUCCCUCCCACGGGAUUUGGGUGCAGAGAACUGUUUAUCUGGUCUGUUUCCUUCAGGUUCCGGCGGUGUCUCAGGCGCAGGGGUCCUGCCGCUCCUGGGCCCUCCCCUACGGGAACCCAGAGGCCUUAUACAGUUUCCUCUUGGGCCAGGGAUGUGGGCAGGGGUGGGCAGUGUUGGUGGUCUCCUCCGCUCUGCAGCCUCAGGAGUGCCCACCUGACCAGGCAGUGAGGUCUCUCUCCCACAGGGUCUGGGAGCAGAGAGUGUUCUCACUUUCCUAUGGGUGCUGUGUACAGUAUGAGAAGUCACUCAGUAAAUAGAAAUCUCUGUUGGAUCUGGCAGACGUCCUCAAGAUGGCUGCUAGAGGUCAGUACAGAAGGAUAGCAGAAGUCAAGGCCAUCUGAUAGUGACACAGGUUCUAACACUGAGACUCCUUCCCGUGUCCCUAAAACCAAUCCUACAAACAUUUACUGAGUAGUCAGUAGGUGGGAUUGAUACCAGCCUCUGGGUAGCUCUAUCCUAGCACAUUCCACAAGAGUGUUGAUCUAAAUCGAACAGCAGGUUCCCUAUUUCUCCCACCUUUAUGGAAAAUUUAGGGAAGUUGUUGAAAAGCUUAGACCCCAAAUUAAAGCCCCUGGAUAACUCAAUUGUUAAGGAGGAAAUAGUUACCUCUCAUGAAUAAGAAAUUUCUUUCUUCACCACCUGCAUUGCCCAUGGAAGGAUAUUACUAUGUCUAUCUGAGUAUGUAUAUGUAUACGUAUAUGUAUAAUGUGUAUAUAUAUCAGCAAGCAGCUGCAGACGGCGUUGAAGGCUGUGGUGUCACUUCCCUCCUCCUCAGCAGCUAGAAGGUGGUGAAGGAAGACUUUAGAUGUGCACAUGAGGAAGACAGAUGUAGCUGAAAAUGCUCGAUUUCAUAAAGUUAGGAUCAUCAUGGUUACACAGAGGUAGUGUUUGCUACAGCAAUCUGGGUUUGAAGGAGAAAGCGUGGGUUGUAUCUUGUAUGGAACUUUGCAGUUCACUCCGGAAUGACCUUUCAGAUUGUCAUUUAGUAGACAAUCUUGCUAACCACAUUGGCAAGCUAAACAAAGCCCAUCAAGAGGACACAUUGAAUUGACAAAGCUUCACCCUUUAUUAAAGUUUGCCCAGCGAGAGAAGUCAUGGUAAUACACUGAUGUCAUCCUUCACCAGAGCAUCAACAGAUAUCUACCCAACUGAGUUUGUUGAAGUGAAUGCAAUUACACAUCUUUUCCUGACGUGACUUGAAUAAUUAAGCAGUGAAUAUCCACUGGAAAAGUCUUUGUGUAUGUGAUCAAUCAUUUGUUAUUUUUACAAGUAAAUGAAAGCUAGAAUUGUGCAAGUGUCUAUGCACACAGAGCUUCUUACAGUGGCAUGUGUCCAGGGAUGUUAGCAGCUUCAUUUUGGGCAUGUAACUCUAGCAAAAUUCCUUAGCCAGAGGUCAGGACACCUAUAUCACAGGAAGUAAACCCACUAACAAACACUGGCUCUCUUCUAUCUCUCCGUGACCUCAUAAAUGGCAAAUAACCACGUCUGUCACUUGUAGAAUUACAAUUGCAUCCACCUCUCAACAGCCAUUGAGAUGGGGAAGGAGAGAGAAAUAUGAGGAGAAUGUAUGGUCUCCUGAGACGCGAUAGCCACAGGCUGCCUCUCGAGGAUGGUUUUCAUUUGUACGUGAGGUAAAAUGCAAGAUGAUGAUAAAUUGAGACCACGUCACCAUUUGUCAUAAAACCCGGGUCCAGUUAAGUGGCGUGACAAAUAUAAAGUCACGUAUUGAUAGAUGACUUCUGCUUAAAUGCAAAUGGAAUAAUUUUCCUUAUAUAUUGUAUUUCUACAAUCUAUUACAGAAUAACAGGCUGUGGUGAGAACAGCUUAACCCACAUGUUUCCAUUGGGAAGAAUUACCUUCCUAAAUACACUGUCAAAAUUUUACUGCAGAUACUAGAUGUCCGCAGGAUCCAGUUUCGAUUGAAACAGUGCAGCCUUUGGUCUUCAGAAUCCUAAGCUCUGCAGGAGCGGAAGUGUGAGGAGAGGCAGUUCUCUGCCAUCAGGCUGGGUAUAGGUGUGUGAAGUCUGUGGCCAGGUAGAGUUCUGGUGGAGUCUACAGGAACUGAAGAGCUUUACACCCCAAUGGAAACUGUCCUUACCCUUGACCUCCGAGUGACAUAUAAAGGGCCGGAGUGGCAGGUUGGAACCGAACUGAGGUCUGAUCAAGUUCUACAUCGUGGCUGGGUCAUGUGCUAGAACUGGGACUUACUUUUGAUUUUCUUUACCCCCAAUUCUUCGCUUGCAGAAUGAGGACAAUACCUGCCCGCUGGAACACGGCCAGCUGAGGGGUCUUGUGACCACACAUGCGUGAUACCUGCCAUUCAUGCAUUUCUGUCUUCUGGGUUCUGCUUUAUAAAUCCGAGUGAAAGAGGGGCGGGGUCAGUGAUGUGGAUGAGAUGGAAGGGGACACAGGGCACAGCCUGCUGGUGCUGGUUGUAAGCUCUGUGUUCCCAUGAUGACGUCUGCUUCCUGCAGAGGAGCAUGGUGGGAGUGUACAUCUUCAUCGAUACUUUGUUUCCUGUCUUAUCAGAACGGCAGUCAUGCUGCUAUGCUUUUGUUUUAGGGCUUUGAGGUUUUUCUACACAUUGUUCUGAUUAUGUAAACUGGAACUAGCCCGAUAGCUACUUGUGCCUUGGGGUACCGAAAGAAAAAUGGGCACAGGGUUCACAAGGGGUCAGCAAGGGCACAUGACUGAUCCUGCAGGGUUCUCUAACUGCCUGGGACACUUCGUGGCGCAGUUGGUCUUCUGGAACCACGGGAGCAAGUUUUCUAGAGACAUCUCUUAAAAUACACUAACUUCGCAGCUGCUGUUUGUGUGUUUGUGUUUAGAGUUUUCUGCCCAUCAAAGUUUAGUGCAAGACUUCUGUGCCUUUAAGAGACUUCCUGUUUCUCAGGAGAGAAGAUAAGAAAACAAAAAUAGAACGUUGGAGAGAUAGUUCUGUGGGUGUGUGGAGAGUGAGAGGGAAAUACACGUUGAAUCAGACGGAGUCGCUCACUCUUAUAAACACUUUCUCCUUAUGUCUUAAAGAGGAUUUACUAUUUUAACAAUAAAGGUUUGAGGUUUUAGUAUCGGGUUGCAAAUGAAGUACACUCAAGGAAAAUCCGAUAGAUACCUGAUCAUCUAACAAGUCGAACACCCUGUCUCCUUUGAAAGCAGCCACCGUCCAUCUUCCAGAUUUGGUGUCUGUGUGCUUGCCUCUGACUUUCACCAUGGCGUCUGCUGGUGCCAUGGAUAAGGGCACAGGUUUUUGGCAUAGGACCAACUUAGGAUCUGUCCUGUGUGCGGAAACCCAAUAGCUGAGUCACCAGUAGGUGGGGUUUAAGUCUCCGGUCCUCGGUUCUGUCAUCUGUGAAAUGUCAGCUGCACACUGACAGUGGACUCCUCACAAGACCACCAUAUCAAAUCGGACGGUGACACCUGCCUAUCACAAGUACCCAGGAGAUCCAGUUACUGUUGUGCUGUGUUUAUAACAGACAUGCCGGUGUGUUAUUAUUCAUAGUAGGACUGCAAUGUAAAAGGCAGAGUGGGCCUGGGAGCUUGGGCGCAGAGGCCGGAAAAGGAUGCGCUGUGAGAACUGGCGAGCUUCUCCAUUUCCUUAUUUGUUUGUCUUUGCACCCAGCUGAAUCAUGCCCUUGGGAGACUGGGGAUAACAUACAAGAGAAACUGCCUUUUUAAUCCUAAACAUUCUACUAUGACACGAAUAAAACAAACAACAACAACAACAACAACAACAAAAACCCCUCUCUCCCUGUCUCCAUCCCUGUUGAUUUUAAGUAAGGGAUCAUGAAGGAAUGCGUUUGCUCUGUUUUCUCAGUUCAUUUGGCCUUUUUGACGAAUCCUCUCAGAGCAGUGGAGGAUACCGCUUCCCUGCGCCCCGGCCAGCAGGCUUGGGGAAGCAAGGCAUCAAAUAAGAGGGAGCCUCAGUCCUGAGCCCGCGGACCUGUGAGGAUGUGGUCUCGGUGUGGUGGUGUGGUGUGAAUAGACCUCAGACUGGGGAGACGAUUGAGGGAAGGGAAGGAUUGCUGCCUUGCUGGGUGCCUGCAGAGACUGCGUCCACCAUAAACAAGGUACAGGAUACUCAGUAAAGAUGGGCAGACAGGAGGAACUCAGCUCUGUCGGAACAGAGUUGGAGACGUUUUAGGAGUGGAAAGUUGUUCGCUAAAUUGAACCAGCAUGCAAUCCAGAACUGUAGGUGUUCACAGGACAGCAGCCACCCGUGAGUGCUGCUACCCUCCCUUUCUCCUCAGUAGAUGGCAUGUCCUUGCUGUUUUGAUAGUUGUAAGGUGACACAGUCUUUAUUUUGAUUAGGUCCAGUGGAUGAACUGUAUAUCAUGUGCAUACUGAGAGAGUUUCCCCUGCACGCCUUCUGCUGUGAGUUCUUUUUUUCUUCAAGAGCUCUUGUGUUCCGGUAUCUCACAUCUGUCAGCUUUCUCCAGUGGUUUGUGUUUUUAAAACUCAAGUCCCCUCUAACCCUUGUUUAGAUCAUCGGAUUUUUUAAAUGAACAAUCGUUGGAAUCAUUUGCAGGUCCUUAUUGUGUCUUAGCAUGCAUAGGGAGGUCAAAGGAAAACCUUGGAGUCAGUUCUCUCCUUGACUUAGGAUCUGGGGAUUGCAUCCAGUCGCCCUUGUACUGAGCUCUCUCCCCAGCUCUGCAGAGAGUGUGGGUAAUUGACUUCCAUUCAAUUCACCCUCUCUGUGCUAGGUCAUUAAUUCUUAUGUGGUGUAAAAUAUCAAUCCAAGUGUGAGCAUUGAGUUUCCAUUAACGGUUUAUUUUUUAAAGCUUAUUACAUAUUUUCCUUGUAAGAGAAUGGGCAGAUGGGAGUGCUCUUUCCCUUAUCUCUUGGGAAUGUCUGUGUUCCAAACUGGCAUUGCCUUUGUUUACAGCUCUGCAGGCUGUUUUAGUUUCUGGGAGGUGAGGUAGCUCUGUUUGAUCUUAAGUUUUAAAUGUUAAAUCUUUAGCCAUACGAGUGGCUUCUUUUUCUGUAUAUUUUAUUUGUUUUUGUUUUUGUUUUUUUUUUGAGACAAGGUUUCUGUGUGUACAGAUCUGACCGUCCUGGAUUUCUGUAUAUUUUAAUGUAAGUUUGAGAAGUCCUUCACACAACUUCUGGGAUUGUUGCUUGGGAUAAUAUUGAAUUAUUGGGCGGCUUGGGGCCAAAUUAACAUGCUACAAAAACCCAUAAAAUAAAACAAGAUCACAAUGGCAAGAAAACAAAAUAUGAAGUAGUAAUCAAAGCCACUAAGUACCUGCCAUGGCCAUGGUAGGCUCCAGAAGCUCUAAGCCCAUAUGCUGUCAUCUACUGCUUCAUCGUGACCAGCUCAGGAAUCUCCUAUUUCCAUAGGGACUCACCAUAUUUUCUCGACUAUUACAUGUGUUAGCUUUGACACCCUUGUUUUUUGCUCUUAGUGAAAUAUAAUAUAUCCUCACAUAAUAUAAUCUCAUAUAAUAAAUCUGAUUAUGGCUUCCCUUCCCUCUACUCCCAGUUCCUCCCCACGUCCCCUCCCUUCUGGAUCUGUUCCCUCUCUGUCUCUCAUUAGAAAACAAACGGGCUUCUAAGGGAUAAUAAUAAAAUAAAAUAGAAUAGAACAAAAACUAGCACACUGGUAAAGGACAAAACAAAUUAAAGGGAGAGAGCCCAAGACAAGGGACACGAAACAGAGAUAGAUCCAGAGACCCACUUGUUUCCACACUUAGCAAUCCCAUAAAGACACUAAACUAAAUGCCAUAAUAUAUACACAAAAGACAGAUAGGAUAAAAGUAGGAAAAUAAAUAAGUAAAUAAAAACAAAUAUAAAAAUAAUAAAUAAUAAUAAAUAAAAUAGAAAUAAAUAACAAGAUAAAGUUAAAAUAUGGGAAGAAGAAGAAGCAGAAGAAGCAGAAGAAGCAGAAGAAGCAGAAGAAGCAGAAGAAGCAGAAGAAGCAGAAGAAGCAGAGGCAGAGGCAGAGGCAGAGGCAGAGGCAGAGGCAGAGGAGGCAGAGGCAGAGGCAGAGGCAGAGGCAGAGGCAGGAGAAGAAGAAGAAGAAGAAGAAGAAGAAGAAGAAGAAGAAGAAGAAGAAGAAGAAGAAGAAGCAGAAGAAGCAGAAGAAGCAGAAGAAGAAGAAGAAGAAGAAGA